rnacentral:rRNA from 1 species
UGAGGAAUAUUGGUCAAUGGGCGAGAGCCUGAACCAGCCAAGUAGCGUGCAGGAUGACGGCCCUAUGGGUUGUAAACUGCUUUUAUGUGGGGAUAAAGUGCGUGACGUGUCAUGCAUUGCAGGUACCACAUGAAUAAGGACCGGCUAAUUCCGUGCCAGCAGCCGCGGUAAUACGGAAGGUCCGGGCGUUAUCCGGAUUUAUUGGGUUUAAAGGGAGCGUAGGCUGUCUAUUAAGCGUGUUGUGAAAUAUACCGGCUCAACCGGUGGCUUGCAGCGCGAACUGGUCGACUUGAGUAUGCAGGAAGUAGGCGGAAUUCAUUGUGUAGCGGUGAAAUGCUUAGAUAUCAUGACGAACUCCGGUUGCGCAGGCAGCUUACUGUAGCAUAACUGACGCUGAUGCUCGAAAGUGCGGGUAUCAAGCAGG